GGGUGAAGCAGCGGGGAUCGGACCUGCGUAGGGAUGCCGGGAUGGAGCAUGACCGCGCGUCCUCCGUGGAGCUAUGGCCUCUUCUCGGUAAAAUGCCCUGUAGAUGUCACCAAAUCUCCGUGCACGAACCCGCGCUUGCGUCCUGUUUAUCCCUGGCAGCUGGACCACUGCGGAUGCUGCCCCGGUCCGGCUGAAAUGAUGCUGCGAUCGGGCCCCGAUUCCUGGGCCGAGCUGGUGGUACCGGUGGCAUGGACAUCGAUGCUGAUGGAGAGCAGUUCCAGCCCUUGUGGGGAGCCAGGACCCGCUUCUUGGCCCUGCCCGGGGCCUCUCGUCCCUGCACGUGGCUUUGGGGACCAUCCCUGCAGUGGGACAAAUCCAGGAGAGCCGGGAACGGAAACGGCGGAGCUGCUCACGGGGCUGCUCCUUCGCCUGCUGCAGCCUGAAACGCUUUCUGCAAGGCUGUUUUUCUUUUUA
rnacentral:lncRNA from 1 species